rnacentral:lncRNA from 1 species
UGAUGUAGGAGACUCUUAGAUUUACAUAACCUAAUCUAGAAGUUUUCCUUUUAUUUCAUGUUUUCUUUUUAUUAUAGGGAUUUACCUUUUUAUGUUUUAGGCUCUCUCUAUAUAAGAGAGUUUUAGGUAUUCUGUUUUGGACAUUCAUAUCUUUUCUUAUCAAUAGAAGUUUUUAAGCUUUUAUCUUUUCUGGUGGAUUCCAGAGCUUAAUAUUCGAGUUCUUGCUUGAGAGCUUGAUUUUGAUCUAAGGGUUAGUGUUUGCUAACCUUAGUGAUUUCCGACUGCGUCAAGUGGUAUCAGAGCAAGGCCUUCUCCUUCUCUUUUCGAAGCUUGAUCAGCCAUGGGUGAUCAACCAGUAACCAAAGCCGACUUCGAGGGUUUCGCAGAAGGUUUAAGGGAGGCAACCACAAACCUCACUACUGUAACUGCUCAAUUGGCAAAUCUGGUAACUGCGUUAAAUAAUCAGGUUGUGGCUUAUCCCAAUCAGGUUAAUAACGCCGGUCAAAGAGGUGGAGAAAGAAGACCAAUUCGGGGUCAACAAGGUCGAAACAAUCGUGAUGUUAUUGUUGAUAAUUCUAGUUCAGAAGAAGAAUCAGAAGAAGAAAUAGCUGAAGAAAACCAACAAAACAAUUAUGAUUAUCGGGUAAAAGCCGAUAUUCCAUUGUUCUAUGGAACUAUGGGAGUGGAGGAGUUUCUUGAUUGGCAAAUUGAUGUUGAUCGAUUUUUUGAUGUCAUGGGCGUUCCUGAGAAUAAACAAGUUAAGAUGGUAGCUGUCAAACUGAAGAAGACUGCUGCAGUGUGGUGGGAUAAACUCGUUGUCCAAAGGCAAAGACAAAGGAGAGGACCAGUUAGGACUUGGCGUCGAAUGAAGCAAUUAAUGCUGGAGCGAUUCUUACCGGAAGAUUACGAACAAAUUCUUUACAAGAUGUAUCUCGAUUGUGUUCAAGGAAACAGAACUGUGACCGAGUACACAGCUGAAUUCUUGCGUUUCUCUGAACGCAAUGAGUUAGGCGAAACAGAGAAUCAGAAGGUGGCUAGGUACAUCAGUGGGUUAAAGGGUUCUCUUCAGGGAAAGAUGGGUUUGCAAACCGUAUGGACUGUGCAGGAAGCUUCCAGUCUAGCAUUAAAAGCUGAGUUAAUGGAGAAGUCAUCACGCGGGUUCUCAACAUUUAGAAGAAACACGGCUCAGACCAAUUUUGAACCAACAAGUGAGAAAGAAAAGAGUGUAGCCAAUAAAGACUCCAAUCCGGGAAACAAAGGAGCUAGUAGCUCUAACUCAACCCAACAGAACAAGGCACCAGCUCAGAGACAAAACAAUCCUUAUGCUAAGCCUUCCAUUGACAAGUGUUUCCGUUGCCAAGGACAUGGUCAUAAAUCAAAUGUCUGUCCAAGUCGGAGAACAGUUGCUAUAAUAGAGGAAGAAGAUGAAGAGAUGAAAGGGAUUUUGCUGAGAAUGAAGAAUAUGAGGGAGCUGAAUUCGCUGAAGAAGAAUCUGGAGAGAUGAUAAACCUUGUGCUGCAACGAGUCUUGUUAUCAUCUAAAGAAGAAGGCCAACGUAAGAAUUUGUUUAGAACACAUUGUUCUAUUCAAAACAAGGUGUGUAAUGUGAUUGUGGAUAAUGGAAGCUCAGAGAAUUUAGUUUCUCAAAAGCUGGUGGACUAUCUGAAGCUACCCACAACCCGUCAUGAGAAACCGUACGGUCUUGGUUGGGUGAAGAGAGGAUCACAAGUUCGAGUUAGCAUGACUUGCAAAGUUCUCAUAUCUAUAGGUAAACAUUAUAAGGAGGAGAUCACUUGUGACGUUCUUGACAUGGAUGUUUGUCACAUUCUUCUUGGACGACCUUGGCAGUAUGAUAACGAUAUCACAUAUCGAGGUCGAGACAAUGUGAUAAUGUUUACGUGGGGCAACCAUAAAAUUGCCAUGGCACCUGUUAAGGAUUUUUGUAACACUGCGAAGGAAAAGAAGUCAAGUUUCUUGGUUAUGACACAUGACGACAAAGAGCUUGAUGGGGAUGUUCAAGAAGCAAGGUGUUUCUAUCCCUUGGUUGUUAAAGGGUUGUUGAGUGCAGUAACGGAGGAAACGUCAACCCCAAGAGAAGUGUUAGAAAUUCUGGAUGAUUUCAAAGAGUUGAUUGCGGAAGAACUUCCUAAUGAUCUACCUCCCAUGAGAGAUAUUCAGCAUCAUAUUGACUUGAUUCCAGGAUCCAGUCUGCCAAAUCUUCCCCAUUACCGUAUGAGCCCUAAGGAGAAUGAGAUUUUAAGGGAACAGAUUGAAGAUUUGCUGAGAAAAGGAUUUAUUCGUGAGAGCAUGAGUCCAUGUGCCGUACCGGUUCUGCUAGUUCCUAAGAAAGGUAACCAGUGGCGGAUGUGUGUUGAUAGUAGAGCCAUUAAUAAGAUAACCAUUAAAUAUCGAUUCCCUAUACCCCGGUUGGAAGAUAUGCUUGAUGAGUUGUCAGGUUCUAAGGUGUUUUCAAAAAUAGAUCUUCGAAGUGGCUAUCAUCAAAUUCGAAUCAGGCCUGGAGAUGAGUGGAAAACUGCUUUUAAGAGUAAAGACGGAUUAUUCGAAUGGAUGGUGAUGCCUUUUGGGUUGUCAAAUGCUCCUAGCACUUUCAUGAGAUUAAUGAACCAGGUUCUCCGCCCGUUCAUUGGUUCUUUUGUGGUGGUUUAUUUUGAUGACAUUUUGAUAUACAGUAAAACAAAAGACGAGCAUAUGGAACAUUUGAAGCAAGUUUUGCAGGUUUUACAAGAAAACCAAUUGUACAUCAAUCUAAAAAAAUGUACGUUCAGCACCAACAAGCUGUUAUUUCUUGGAUUUGUUAUUGGUGAAGAAGGGAUUCAGGUUGACCAGGAGAAAGUGAGUGCCAUAAGGGAUUGGCCGGUUCCUAAGUCAGUCACUGAGAUACGCAGCUUUCAUGGUCUAGCUACUUUCUACAGAAGAUUUGUUAGAGAUUUUAGUACCAUUACUGCGCCUAUCACUGAGUGUUUGAAGAAAGGGAAGUUCAUUGGGGAUCUGAACAGGAAGAGAGUUUUGCUUUAAUUAAAGAGAGGCUUUGUACUGCACCAGUAUUAGCCUUACCCGAUUUUGACAAAGUGUUUCAAGUGGAAUGUGACGCUAGUGGUGUGGGAAUAGGUGCCGUCUUAUCACAAGAAAAACGACCGAUAGCUUUCUUUAGUGAAAAGUUAAGUGAAGCUCGCCAAAAGUGGAGCACGUAUGAUCAAGAGUUCUAUGCGGUUUUUCGAGCUCUUCGACAAUGGGAGCAUUACUUGGUUCAGAGAGAGUUUGUUCUAUUUACAGACCACCAAGCUCUAAAGUAUCUUCACAGCCAGAAAGUGAUAAAUAAGAUGCAUGCUCGUUGGGUAAGUUUUCUGCAAAAGUUUCCUUUCAUUAUUCAGCAUAAGUCUGGAACUCUUAACAAGGUGGCAGACGCCUUGAGUAGAAGAGCUUCCUUACUCACUAUCUUAGCACAAGAGGUUGUGGGUUUCGAGUCUUUGAAGGAGUUGUACGAAUGUGAUGUUGAAUUCAAGGAGUUAUGGGGCAAAUGUAAUGGGAAGCAUCCUUCGGCAGAUUUCCACAUACGAGAUGGUUAUCUUUUUAAAGGAGACAGGCUGUGCAUUCCUUGCUCGUCAUUACGAGAAAAGUUGAUUCGCGAUUUGCAUGGUGGCGGCCUUAGUGGUCAUUUGGGAAGAGACAAGACCAUUGCUAGCUUGGAGACAAGGUUUUAUUGGCCACAUUUAAGGAGAGAUGCGGGUGCUAUAGUUAAAAGGUGUUAUAUCUGUCAGGUUUCUAAAGGACAAUCUCAGAACACUGGACUUUAUAUGCCAUUACCAAUCCCAGAAGAUAUUUGGCAAGACUUGUCUAUGGAUUUUGUGCUAGGCUUACCUCGUACACAGCGAGGCGUCGAUUCUGUGUUUGUGGUCGUUGACAGAUUCUCCAAGAUGUCGCAUUUCAUCGCUUGCAAGAAGACUGCAGAUGCCUCUAACAUCGCCAAGUUAUUUUUUCGGGAAGUGGUACGUCUUCAUGGGGUUCCUAAGACAAUAAUUUCCGACAGAGAUACCAAGUUUCUGAGUCACUUCUGGAUUACACUUUGGAGAAUGUUUGGAACCAGCUUGAAACGGAGUUCUACAGCUCAUCCACAGACUGAUGGGCAAACCGAGGUGACGAAUAGAACUUUGGGGAAUAUGAUUCGAAGUGUUUGUGGAGAUAAACCGAAACAAUGGGAUCUGGCUUUACCUCAAGUGGAGUUUGCUUACAACAGUGCCGUGCACUCAGCUACAGGGAAAUCACCUUUUUCUUUGGUCUAUUGUUCUAUUCCGAAGCAUGUGGUCGAUUUGGUUAAGUUGCCUAAAGCUCCUGGAGUUAGUAUCUCAGCUGAGGCUAUGGCAGAGGAUAUUCUAGCAACUAGAGACGCUGUCCGAGCGAAGUUAGAAGCAACUGGCCAAAAGAAUAAAGAAGCAGCAGACAAGCGUAGAAGACUCAAGGUUUUCAAAGAAGGAGAUGAAGUGAUGGUGUUUCUACGAAAAGAAAGAUUCCCCGUGGGCACAUAUCGCAAGUUACAGCCUCGCAAAUAUGGUCCAUUCAAGAUUUUGCGGAAGUUAAAUGAUAAUGCUUAUGUGGUGGCACUUCCAGAAGACAUGAACAUUUCUAAUACGUUCAAUGUGGCUGACAUCUAUGAGUACCAUGCUGAUGGUGUUCUUUAUCCAGAAGAGAACUCGGGGUCGAGUUCUUUCGAGGUGGAGGAGACUGAUGUAGGAGACUCUUAGAUUUACAUAACCUAAUCUAGAAGUUUUCCUUUUAUUUCAUGUUUUCUUUUUAUUAUAGGGAUUUACCUUUUUAUGUUUUAGGCUCUCUCUAUAUAAGAGAGUUUUAGGUAUUCUGUUUUGGACAUUCAUAUCUUUUCUUAUCAAUAGAAGUUUUUAAGCUUUUAUCUUUUCUGGUGGAUUCCAGAGCUUAAUAUUCGAGUUCUUGCUUGAGAGCUUGAUUUUGAUCUAAGGGUUAGUGUUUGCUAACCUUAGUGAUUUCCGACUGCGUCACU